AGCGAACGCUGGCGGCAGGCCUAACACAUGCAAGUCGAACGAACUCUUCGGAGUUAGUGGCGGACGGGUGAGUAACACGUGGGAACGUGCCUUUUGGUUCGGAAUAACUCAGGGAAACUUGUGCUAAUACCGAAUGUGCCCUUCGGGGGAAAGAUUUAUCGCCAUUAGAGCGGCCCGCGUCUGAUUAGCUAGUUGGUGAGGUAACGGCUCACCAAGGCGACGAUCAGUAGCUGGUCUGAGAGGAUGACCAGCCACACUGGGACUGAGACACGGCCCAGACUCCUACGGGAGGCAGCAGUGGGGAAUCUUGCGCAAUGGGCGAAAGCCUGAUGCAGCCAUGCCGCGUGAAUGAUGAAGGUCUUAGGAUUGUAAAAUUCUUUCACCGGGGACGAUAAUGACGGUACCCGGAGAAGAAGCCCCGGCUAACUUCGUG
rnacentral:rRNA from 1 species